GUAGAAUGUAGCUGUUAGCUUCUACGGCAGCGCUAAGACCAUUUGACGGGUUUUCCCGAGGAUGUUAAUGCAUAUUGAGGACUGGUGAGGUAUGUCUGUUGCAUAACCAGUGUGUGCAGCACAGAGGAUAGGAUGGUCAGAGUGAAGUGACCCAUGCCUGGCGAUGUUCAGGCCGGAUCCUUUCAGCUCUAGGUUCCAUCCUUCCUCCACAAACCCACCUCACAGCUGCUCCUGUUCCCCAAGUAAACGAACCAGUGAGGCCUGAAUGAUGGAGCCAAGUUUUUCUUCAAGAUGGAUACAGUUGUGAAUUGUUCAAAACCCUUGUGGUUCCAGAAAACUGGAUAUGAAGAGGAAAUUUACAUUUUUGGCAUCACAAUGUGCACUGGAAAAUAAAGUUGCAUCACUCCUUCCCCCAACAUCUUCCUCCUUCAUGGAUCAGCGGAGCCUAAAUCUGGAACAAAGACGGGGGAAAAAAAUACGAGACACAUGGCAGCAAGAUGCUGUGUGCAAUUACUGCUAAUGAUAUGCCUCCAUGCAAGCUGCGGCCUUAAUUAACUUUGCAGGAAGCCAGGCCUGUGCGAGCUCAGCGUGAGGGGAUGCAGACCCAGAACUUGAAGCCAAAGCUAAGAAAGCACACCUGUCCUUGACGUUGCUCAGACAAACACGCCUGUUAUCCCAGAUUAGACCUGUUGGGUGGUCCUGAGUGAAGAGUAACAUGAUACGGAUGUUGGAGGUUUUAUCCUGCAGAACGGAGCUAAAGCUGAAGCUCACACAAGAAGUUCUGGUCGGGAGGAGGCUAACCGGCAGUGGCAGGAGUGGAUCUUAAAAUGGAACCCAAGGAACAAGGACAAUUACAAACUGCGUUUCCGUUACAAGUGCGCAAAACUUUGUCUGUAUUCCACUAAUGUCGGCAUUUAAACACAAUUUUGCAAUAUGGUGUUUCUACUAAAUAAGGCAAAUAAUUAAAAUCACACAUGAAUAAGUUUG